rnacentral:rRNA from 1 species
CCUACGGGAGGCAGCAGUAGGGAAUCUUUCACAAUGGGCGAAAGCCUGCUGGAGCAAUGCCGCGUGCAGGAUGAAGGCCUUCGGGUUGUAAACUGCUUUUAUAAGCGGGAAAUAUGAUGGUAACUUAUGAAUAAGGAUCGGCUAACUACGUGCCAGCAGCCGCGGUCAUACGUAGGCUCCGAGCAUUAUCCGGAGUGACUGGGUGUAAAGAGUUGCGUAGGUGGCAUAAUAAGUAGCUAGUGAAAUCUGGUGACUCAACCAUUCAGACAAUUAGCUAAACUGUUAAGCUCGAGACCGUUAGGGGUAACUGAAAUUGCUAGUGUAGGAGUGAAAUCCGUAGAUAUUAGAAGGAACACCAAGAGCGUAGGCAGGUAACUGGGACGGUUCUGACACUAAGGCACGAAAGCGUAGGGAGCAAACGGGAUUAGAUACCCUUGUAGUC